GUGCGUGUGUUGCACUCUGGUCCAUGUGGAUUGGGUUUUUCAGUGCUCUGCAGUAAAUGUUAUCUGUUCUGGCAGGCAGUCCAUGUCAAAUAGUACGAGGGUGAGGAGGGCGACGAAGCAUGAGACGAGUCACGCUCUGUCCACUGUCAACCCAUUUCAGGUCACCCUCUUUCCCCCAGUGGCCUGCUGGGUUUCUCUGAUCAUGGACCACAGGACGGCCAUGUUAGAUCUGUUUUCCUUAGUGCGAUUGCAGACUCUUCUAGGAUUAGUAAUUGGGCAAGGGCAUUCAGAGGCACAGAUUCGUCAGCGCUGUCAUCUGGGAGAGUUCUCUGUUUUAAAGUUUCCUUGUACAUCAUAUGUCAGAAGAAGAUUAACUUGAUUGGAUUCCAAAGAGAGAAGUUGUAGAGUUGAAAAUGAAACCAAACAAUAUGCACUGUUAUAUUUUAUCACCCAAGUUAUUGAUGCAACGACUGAAGUUACAGAAGAUGUGAGUUGCAUACAAAGUAGGAAAAAUCAUAAAAAAUUCCUAUCUUUCAAUAUUUAUGCACUGAAUUAAAAAAAUUAAACUUUCUGAUUUGGAUUCUCAUUGGCAAAGUGUGAUUAAUUUCUACACACCUGCUGCCAACUAGAGACUGAUAUGAAUAAACAAAAAUUUGUGUUCAAAAAUUCAGAGUAAACUACUGAUUUGUAUCACACGGCAACCUUUUCCCUACAGAGUCACGCCAAAAUGAUGGGCAUGGCUUUCAUCGGAUCAUUUAGUGCUCAUUGAUCUCAUGAUUAUCAUGCUAACUGAGCUGUCAGCUUUGGCAUCUGGCAUCACUGAUUCAGGCAAGGGGAGAGAAACUAGGAGGCAGGUCUACUUAUCAUGCAUGGCCACACAAUCUCUAUUCUCUUUCUCUGGACUAGCCGGCUUAAUUAUGUGCUGAAACAAGUCUUCAAAGAAGCUCCUUUCACAAAGUAAUAUAUAUACCUGUCCAGUCUUAUUCAGUUCAAACAGGACGACCAAUAGUAAUAGUACAGCUUGUACAGACACAACCAAACUGUGAUUUGCAUGUAAUUAAUUUAACUAUUAAACAUCAGAAAUACUGAUGUUAAACAAGUUAUUCAUAUUUUAUUGCUGCACAACGCAGGUUAGCUGGCACAUCUAUGAUGUUAUGCAGCCACCCGCCACUAGUUGGAGCUGCAACACUAUCAGACAGUAGGCACCCCCUAGUGGUGGACAUAUGACAUGUCAAAAAAACAUUUUAGGUUGGCAUGAUUUUGAUCUAGGUAAUGAAAAUAAGGUUGUACCACUUGACAGUAGCAAUAUGUAACCAGAUUCAGCACAGGCAUGUGGACGUUAAUCUGCAAAGAAAGAAGACUGCUGGUGCUAGCACUGCUAACGUUAGCCACAUUCAGCAAACGAGUGUGACUUCCUGCAGGUGGGAUCCGCUGAGUGUGAAAAGAUGCAGCAGUUCAUCAGAGCAAAAUGUGCUUCCACUCAAUUUCAUUCACGCCAAAGUCAGAGGAAUAUUUUGCACCCAAACACACAAUGGCAAGAUGCAAAAUCAUAACAUCCAGACUGGAGCAUAACAAGUGUUUUCUUACUUUUAGACUAGUCAGUUAGUUGAAAUUUAAAUUUACCUUUAAUCAACGGGGAAAUUAAUUUCAAGGAACAUCAAACCAAAGCAGACAGCCACACAUACAGUUCAGAUAAAGAGGCUCCAUUUAUUUGCAUCAUGUCACCGUUGUUUACUGCAAAACCAUGUGAUGGAUUAGUGUAUCAGAGGCACGAUCUACAAAAAUGAAUUGAAAGAAAAAGCAUUAGAUAUGAUUUUUAGAGCAUAAACAACAGAGUGAUUGUUCUGUCAAACUGUCAAACGUGCCUUGAAUCAGACCAGAAUCAGAUGAAGAGAGACACUGUUUUGAAUGUCACCACCGCCAGCGGUUUAUUGACACCAGGGUUUCUUUAAGGAUAGGUGCAAGUGUUUUUGUGGAGCGCCUUAAGGUGAAGGAACAUAGAUGAACUUUUAGGUGACAUAUCAGAAUGAAUGUAAAUCAACUGUACGAGUUCUAUGCACUGACAAAAACAAAAACAAACAAAAAAUGGGAGAGGAGUCUUGAUCUCAAAUGAAAAGGUUCAAAUGACAAAACCUGUCAGAAAAUAUUCAGCACUGAGCUAAUAAAACAGAUGACUUGAUAUUUCUCUGUACGUUCAACCCUGGAUGUAGUUAUGAAUUCUACCGAUAUCAGUUGCCAGUAUUAUUGCCUGAUAUUGAUCUGUCACAGAUAUGUUGGUCUGACACACAUCAAUAUGAAAACUUUGUUUUACACAACAUAAUACACAAAAACGUGUCUUCUGUAACUGAGAAACAGAGCAGCUCCUGCAGCUCUUCUCAGCACUGUCUGCAGCACAUGUAGCAGAGUACGUAUCACAGUACUACUGUGGUGCAGAGUCAAGCUUUGUCUUCAUGGGGAGUUGCUAAUUAGUUUGUGUAAUACACUGCUGGAAAUUUACUAAACAACAACCCCAUCCUUUUCCCUUUUCAUUAUAACUUUAACAUGCUAUGACUAAACAAUAUUGGCUGAUAUAUUUAUAUGUUCUUCUCCCAGUUUUCCUAAAUUGGUACCUGUUCCAAAAAUCCAGUAUCAGUUGGGCUCUAGUAGUUACAACUAUCAACUCGGAUAAAUUAUUUGUAAAUCUUCCAUUCUGUACACCCCAGUCAUGAAUACAUGAACUUAUUUUUGUUAGGGAUUAAUAAUAAUAGCUGACAAGGAUAAGAUGCAACUAAUGGAAACUAGAUAACAAUUAAAGAAUCUACUAAUCUAGCUACAUAGAUAUUCAAGUACUGGAUUAGCCAGUAAGCCAGCUAGCUGAUGUUACCUAAAGAAACUUAAACUGACCUAACAUUAGCAGCUAAUGUGACCAGCUAGCUUAGCAAAAUUAGGCUGUGUUCACAAGCCUCUUUCUGACAGUAGCCAGAAACACUUAGGACUACUCCAGUUUUACUCCACAAAUGAACAAAGGUGAUACAACACAUUUAUUACAUCAUAUCUGUACAAGUUAAGGUCCACAUACAUUUUCAUUAAAUCUGAAACAUCCUGUUUGGUGAAAUGAAUAAACUUUCACCUAAAUGUACGAUAAGCGUUGUCACAUUUCUUUCACAAAUAUGGUGAAGAUACUGAUCAAAUUAAAAGUUCCUUCAAAUGAUUUCAAACCGUCCAACCACCUCUACCGUCCCCUGAAAACCCUGGAUACUAACUUGGGCAAUCUGAGAUUUAUUUUGCUGUAAAUCUGCAUCACAGUACAGUAUUGAAAAAAAAAUACUGCAUCUUUCCUGGUCAUGCACAAAGAGCUGGCAUCAUAAAUCUUUAAGGCAAAAAUCGUUUCAGGAAUCUCAGUUUCAACUGAUAUUCUAAUCAAAACCCUUUUAGUUUGAUUAGAGCAUCGAAAACAUUGCAGGUGUGAUAUUAGUUCAGCAAAUAAAAACAAACCCAUUCACUCUGAGAAGUGUGUUGGAGUGUGAUUUAAUUCACCACUGAGGACAUUUUUGGCUUUUGAAUACAACAAUUAAACUACUCCAAGCCUGCAAAAUGUACAAUUAAAGUACAAAUUUGUAUUAAAAAGGCAAAUCAUGUAAAACUACUGUCAUGAUCCUACAAUAGUCCUUGUAAUAAAAGAAACCGGGGGCUGUUAAAUCGUUGGUAAUUACAAACAGAACUCAGCUGAGUUGGGUAAUUUCUUAAUAGCUUUUUAAUAGAAUCACUAUUUAAGCACAUAUAGAUUUAUUCAGUUAAUUCUAUUGUCAGAAAGUAGUUUCCAGCUUCUAAACUAUCAGCAAUAGAGCCUAACUAAUCAAGAAUACAGCAUACAGCAGCACAGCUCAAGAUAUCUGUUUAAUUUCCUGCCUCAGUAAGACAUAGAUAUAGAAAAAGCCUGAAAUUCAGAGCUCAGCAGGUGCACUGACCCAGAGCAAAGCUGCAGGUAACAGAUAGGAUUUAUUGAUCUGGGAUAUAUCUCUAUUAGCCACGUCCAAGGUCAUUGAACCUAGUAUCUACCUGCAAAGAGCUGUCAGUCUUUGCUGAGCUUAAUAAAUGACACUCUGUCCAUGUGGGCCUUGCAGAACGUGACGGAUUGUUGUAACAGUUCCUGACACCGUGUACAUAUAAGCAUCAGUAUUCUGAUCAGGGGUUGAGCACAACACACGGCUCGUGUUUUUUACCCCCAUGACACAGCAAACACUUUUGUUAUUCAGUGUGGCACAACAGCAUGGUGUCCCCCUCCCUUGCUCACAUCAGAAUCUGUCCCGCUGACACUGAUCAAUGACGGUGGCAAUGCAGAAGAUGGAGAGAACAACAGUGCUAUUGACAGCAACGAUGGAUUUUACAGGAAGCCAGGCAGUGCAGCCACAUAGUGACUGACUGUGUAGGAAAGUUGUCAAAGCAAAUGACUUAUUUCAUCCAUUUCUAAUUUUCCCUCCACCCACCGCUCUUCCUUUCGCUGCGAUAAGCCGUAAUGCACAAGUGCAGUGCUUCAGCAUCAUAAAAGGAGAAAAUAAUUGCAACCGCCAACAAUCAUAUAUUGUGUGGCAUUGUGUCUCGAAAUUAAAAAUAUUCUGGAGUCCGGCGACAGUGAACAACAGUCUGCUUCCAUUACUGUAAAUAACUGCAGACAUGCAUGUAAUGAGGGCGUAAGCAAUAUUUGUGCGGCAAAGAUUAGUCUUGUGAAAACUCACACACAAAGCUGCAUUUAUCAGUCGAAGCUUUUUAAAAUCCAGCAAAGGAACCCAGCAGCCAGUGAGACAUGAAUUUUAAAUACAACCAUUUAUCCACAGAGAAUAAAUUUGACACCAGUUAAUGGCAUUAAGAGAAAUCUGGUAUGGACUACCUGAAUACCUGAGCUGAUAGAGAGGUAGACCAUUAAACUUUGUGAACUUAAUGGAUUAUUAUUUGAAUAAAGCCACUGAGACAGAUGGGACACAUAGAAUCUGUAAGUAAUAGCAUCUCAAAUCCGUGACAAAAACAAAAUUAAAUAAAUAAAAAAAAUAUGGUGACUGGCAUUGGUGUCAUGAUCAUAAAUUUAAAAGGCAAUUUCUCACAAACAAAUUGUGUCUAUUUAGCAUUCAUUCAAAGAGGUCUUUGGUAUAUUUAUAAAAAGAAACAUGGUAGAAAAUGUGACAUAGUGUCCUCAUUAAUCUCACCAAGGUUCUUGAUAAAAAAGGAAAUUAGUAAAAGCAAGAAGGCCACCAACUGAUUACAAAAUUAAUUAAGUACAUAGAUUAUGUGUUGCAGCAAUAAACAGCUUAAGAUUGUAUUCAGAAACGCUGAGUCUGCAUAUAUCAGACUGGUCAUUGUUAUGGUUUCUCAGGGACAAAGGCUGGAUGAUAUUGAAUAUCAGUAGUGUACUGCCUCUGGAUGCUGCUGGAAAGACUCAGACUGCAAAUAAUGCAGUUUAAACGUUUCACUGGCCAGCAGAGAGGCUCAACAGAUGUUGUCUGGCUAAUGCAGUUGCUUCUGGUUAUUGUUUUGACACGUCUCUCUCCAUGAUUCACAAUUUUACAUAUCAACUUAAGAUUAAAGUAGGCACCCAAGGUUCUUCUGCAAUCGCCACAAUAUUGGACCACGCAGCUAAAAUGAAAUUAUUAAACCCUCCAACAAACCCCAGUGCAUCUUCUUCCACUUAAUUGCCUUUUGCAAGAGCAAACAAACCUGUUGGACGAUGCUGUUGUUGUAGAAUUCAUGUCUGCAUAAACAUGCCUCCAGUGUGUCUGAAGGAGCACAUGCAGGUAUAUACGUACAAUCAGUGUCUGCCAGAGUGGCUGGAGUUCUGCCUGGGAGCAAAGUUAAGAGCAGUGUCUUCAUUGCUGGAUUUUCCUUAUGUACACUGUGAGUUCAAAGCAUGCAAAUGAUAUGGCUGGACUUGGAAUCUAUUAAGUAAAUUGACCAGGAGCAACCCAGAAUGAUGGGAUGAAUAUAAAUCACUCGUGGCUCUGACUCCUGGGAUCGUCUGUGCAGGUGAAAAAGCUUCACCUCUUGAUGGCGAGUGAAUGCACAGUGCGGACUACUCAGGAAAAUAGAAAUGUACACUGAGGAUGAAUGAUUAAAGUUUCAAAAGGCAGAGUUCAAAAUAUCAUGUGUCUUAGAGGACCAAAGUCUUAUCUUUACAGAAUCCACUCUUUAAAGCUGAACUGGGUGUUAUUAUUCAUAUUAAAAACUCAUAUAAGAAGUUAUUAGCUCGUACAAGGGUGACAUUUAAACACAAUUUUAUUGCAAAAGCUGCAAAUGGUUGAGCUAAGGUAGUCCGAAUGGUGAACGGUUUGGAAUCAUAGCUGACAGGUUGCAGAGGGAAGGCUGAGCUGAAUAAAUGUGGCAGGACUUGAGCAGAACUAGCAGGCAGGUUACACAGAGCAACUGGGGUCCUGAUACAGGGAGAGUGAGGUUAACAGGCAGCAAAAACACAAAGAGCAACAGGUUACUGAAACUGAGUCGGCUUUAGCAGCACAUGACAGACUGAGCGAUGUGGUGGAGACUGACAUGCAGCACUGAGGGUGAAGUAUUGCAGGGAGCCAGAUGAAUUGAUGAGGACCAGGAGCAGGAGUGUCAGCAGAUUAGCAGCUGGGAGGCCGAAGGAAACCACGCCCACACACACACAAUCACACACUGCACUGACUACAGUCACUCAUAGGUACAAGCAGUUCAGUCACGACACUGGAUCUUUUCAGCUGCAUCACAGUGGAUUCUUCUUUCUCAAAAGCACUGCAGCACUUUGUGUGGUACGAUUGAGGCAAAGUUCUGCUUCUGUAUUCCACAUCAGCACCCUCCUGCUACCAUAAUUCAUUUCUUUUGUGCACAGAGUGCAUCUAGUCCAUCCUUCCUUUUUAACUUUUUGAAAAAAAAAUCAGUGGCAACAUACGCUUUACUGACUUUACCUUAGUUGUAGCAUCUAACUUGAGCCUUAACCCUUUUUUUUUUUUUUUUUUUUAUUGAAUGUUCAUAAUAACAUUACAUUUAUUAUGCCAGGGGUUUUUACUUAAAACAAAACAGUGAAAAACAAUAAUGUUCAACAAAUAAAUAAAAAUAAUAUAAAGACAAUAAAAAAUACAAUCAGCAGUUAUAUUGCAUGAAACCUUCCAAUGUUUUCACAGCUUUGGGAUUUGAAGAGUAUUGAAUAGAAUCUUUGUACUGUGCCAGUUCAAGCAAGUAUAGUUUAAAAAGGGGUUUUUUAGCAGUGAAUUUACACUUAUGAAUAUGAAAUUUUGCAAAGAUUAGUAAUAAGUUAAUCAUGUAAUAUUCCUUUGUUUUGGGGCUACUUAUGUUAUAAAAAACAAAAAGCACAUUGGGAUAGGUAAGAGAAAAGUUAAUGAAGAUAUUGGUCCGGACAUAGAGAAUGAAGUCUUUCCAAAAUUUCACAGUAAAGGGGCAUUUCCAGAACAGAUGUAUGACAGUCUCAAAGUCAUGAGUACAGAAAGAGCAAUUGUAGUCUGUGUCCUUGUGUAAGGAUUGCUUGGCUGGGUAGCAUCUGUGGAGCAAUUUGAAACACACAUCCCGUAGUUUGUUCGUAAUGAGAUAUUUAGAGGGAGCCUUAACCCUUUAGAACCCAGCGUAGCGCCGGCGCUACGUUUUGCAUAUUGAUUUUUGAUUGGCUGUAGAUUUUAAACCAGAUAGGAUAGAUCGAUAAUUCUUUUUGCAUAUAAAAUCUGGGGAGUUACACUAACAUUUCACACAUUCACCGGGUCUCAGGGUGCUUUUUCGUUGCAGUGAUGGCUUAAAUAAAAAUACACAAUAAAGCGCACACAACAAAACUCUUUAUAAACCAGACCACCGGUAUUUGGAGGACUUCUUACGUUGAAAUAAGCGUGAUCACGUUGUGGCCAUGACCUGUCACAUGGUUCUUAUGUGUCCAUACCCGAGAGGCUCCCGUCCCCAUCAACAGGAAGUGACGUUGUUGCCGGGAGUUGUAGUUUUUCAGCCGCCAACUACAACUGUAGUUUUCGGCUGUAGCCUGCACAGAUACAAGCUCUCACUCAUUUCAGUCCCACUUUUUUUUUUUUUUUUUUUUUUUUACAAAAAAAUUCAGACACACAGCCCACACACACACCAGACAUCCACCACGCUCCGUGUACGGAUCUGGUAAUUGGAUUUUCCGUUCUGAAACGGGUAUUGAAAAACAAAAAACGAGUGGUUAUUUGAUUUUCGUUUAAAAAUACAAAAAAUAAAAUUGAAAUACAAGGCGUUUUUCCUUUUCAUGAUCAAAAAGGGAUAUACGAUUUUUUUUAAAUGCUUUGAUUUUUGUUUUAUAUUUAGAAUAACAAGAAAGUAAAAUCAGUAAGAGACAGAAACGAAAAAAAGUCAGUUUUUUCAUUUUCUGAGACCGGAAGUGGUCAUCAGCAAGUGUGGAGCCAAACAGAGUACGGUGCACAGACUGUAUAUACAUUUUUUUUCGUGUGUUUUCAUGGUCAAAAUGAGAGAUCAGGUGGCCGAUCUUAAAAUAAAUCAAUAUUGAUUUUUUUUAUAGAGCGUUAAAGUUUUGCGAAGCCAGGGGGCGGGACUACUUGAUUGACAGUCCGGUCUGGAAUGAUUGACAGGUCCUAUGGAGGAGGCAGCAGAGACUCUGCUCUCCUCGUUUGGAUUAAUUCUGAUAUAAUAACUGUUGGUUUAUUUAUCGUGGAGCAGCACAACAUUUUCCACAGACAGUUUUCCUGCCCGUUGGCUUGUUUUAACCAGUUUUCUACCUUCGGCUGAUUCUACCAGCAGACACUGAAAGGACUCUGAUAGUUCGAGUGAAAGUAGCAGUUCCUCCUUAAGGUCAGAGAUUGCAGCAUCUGAGGGCCUCUUCAAAAGAAGACAUAGUUGAUGAAGGCGUUCUGGAGCAGGACCAGAAAGACCACGACCAAGCAGCCUUGAGAUCUUAAGCAGCGUCUCCCUCGGGUCCCUCUCUAUCUCCCCACACAUCCACCAAGCACUGGAACACAUCUCCAAAGUUCUGCCGGGCCAGCUCAGCUUCCCCUCAGAAGAAGUGCCGCCACCUGCCAGAUGAAGGAGCCUUUUGAGAGGCAGCUGGCAUCGUGAUUGGACUGUACUUUGGUCUGUUCCAGUCCAGCUUCAGCUCCAGAGACGGCAGGCGGGACGAGUCAACGGUGGCCGGAUGGACGAAGGCAUGAAGCUGAGUACAAUCUAGAAAACAACAGAGGAGGAGUGCAGCAGCCCAGAGCCAGAACAAACAGGGUAGCAUCGUAUGUCUCUUAGAAAACAUCAUAGUAGAGCCUUUGGGAUGAAAAAACGCAAUCAUAUACAUCGUAGAUUGUACAAAUAACAAGUCAAAGGAAAGAGACAUACAUUGUAAAAUUGUAGUAAUUGUGGGCUGACUGAUUUACUGAUUAUCAGUAUUUUAUUUUUUACUGAUUUACGGUCAUAAAUAAAUUUUAAAAUGGCGCUACUUUGGCUCUGAACCUUUAUCUACCUGUGGUCGCUCUGUCUUCUGGAGUAAUUUGAUUAGUUAUACGUCAGGAAUAAAACUCCUUUAACUUAACAUCUGUAAACAAAACAAAAAUGUAUCAACAAAGUUUUCUGUUAGAGUUUGUGUUCUUCUAAGUUUAACUCCAAGAUUUUAAAUACUUUCAUUUACUGCAAAUGAAUAUCUACUCCACAUGUCUCACUAAUUAUCAUUAUCAGCCUUAAAAACCCACAAAACACCCCUCUAUACUGGACCACACUUAGUACAGUCCUGUUCCCCCUACUAUAAAUCUGCUUGGAAUCUUCCACUUCCUGUUUGUCAAAGUGGCCUUCUACCUGGACAGGUUUUGUUGGAGCUCAUGCAACAAACAUUUUGGGUAACUGCACUUUAAUAUGGAUGGAUGACACUGAAUUAGAGUCUGUUUUAAUGAGACUGAGUUAAGAUGUGUAGCUCUGUCAUUAAAUAGGAAAUUAUUUCUCAGAAUUCACAGAGAAAAGUCUGAAAUGUUUGCUAGGUUAGCGUCCCACAUGUUCUUUGGCUCAGCUAAAGCUAACUCUCUCCAACUUCUGGAUCUCUUGAGUUGCUUGUUGUUAAAAUAUCUUGCUAGAUUUGCUGAAGCUCAGAAAGUCUGAGAUGUUUGUUCAAAAUAAGCUAAUUCUCAAGGCUGAUCUGAACUGUCCUCUUUUGUUUGAACUUUCCCUAAACUUAGGAGUUAAUGACAGAGCAGCACAUCCAGACUCAGUCUCAUUUAUGUAGAGAUUAAACUUCAGUGUCAUUCAUUGAUGUUAAAGUGCAGUUUUUCAAAUGUUUGUUGCACA